AUGCUCGCUUCAGCAGUACAUAUACUGAAAUUGGAAUGAUACAGAGAAGAUUAGCAUGGCCCCUACUUUAAAAAAAACCUAAGCUGCCUCAUCUACCAGGAUGUU
rnacentral:snRNA from 1 species